GACGAACGCUGGCGGCGUGCCUAAUACAUGCAAGUAGAACGCUGAAGGAGGAGCUUGCUUCUCUGGAUGAGUUGCGAACGGGUGAGUAACGCGUAGGUAACCUGCCUGGUAGCGGGGGAUAACUAUUGGAAACGAUAGCUAAUACCGCAUAAGAGUAGAUGUUGCAUGACAUUUACUUAAAAGGUGCAAUUGCAUCACUACCAGAUGGACCUGCGUUGUAUUAGCUAGUUGGUGAGGUAACGGCUCACCAAGGCAACGAUACAUAGCCGACCUGAGAGGGUGAUCGGCCACACUGGGACUGAGACACGGCCCAGACUCCUACGGGAGGCAGCAGUAGGGAAUCUUCGGCAAUGGACGGAAGUCUGACCGAGCAACGCCGCGUGAGUGAAGAAGGUUUUCGGAUCGUAAGGCUCUGUUGUAAGAGAAGAACGAGUGUGAGAGUGGAAAGUUCACACUGUGACGGUAUCUUACCAGAAAGGGACGGCUAACUACGUG
rnacentral:rRNA from 1 species